CGCGCGUAGGUGGUUAAUUAAGUCAAAUGUGAAAUCCCCGAGCUUAACUUGGGAAUUGCAUUCGAUACUGGUUAGCUAGAGUAUGGGAGAGGAUGGUAGAAUUCCAGGUGUAGCGGUGAAAUGCGUAGAGAUCUGGAGGAAUACCGAUGGCGAAGGCAGCCAUCUGGCCUAAUACUGACACUGAGGUGCGAAAGCAUGGGGAGCAAACAGGAUUAGAUACCCUGGUAGUCCAUGCCGUAAACGAUGUCUACUAGCCGUUGGGGGAUUUGAUCCUUUAGUGGCGCAGCUAACGCGAUAAGUAGACCGCCUGGGGAGUACGGUCGCAAGACUAAAACUCAAAUGAAUUGACGGGGGCCCGCACAAGCGGUGGAGCAUGUGGUUUAAUUCGAUGCAACGCGAAGAACCUUACCUGGCCUUGACAUAGUAGAGACUUUCCAGAGAUGGAUUGGUGCCUUCGGGAAUCUACAUACAGGUGCUGCAUGGCUGUCGUCAGCUCGUGUCGUGAGAUGUUGGGUUAAGUCCCGCAACGAGCGCAACCCUUUUCCUUACUUGCCAGCAUUUCGGAUGGGAACUUUAAGGAUACUGCCAGUGACAAACUGGAGGAAGGCGGGGACGACGUCAAGUCAUCAUGGCCCUUACGGCCAGGGCUACACACGUGCUACAAUGGUCGGUACAAAGGGUUGCUACACAGCGAUGUGAUGCUAAUCUCAAAAAGCCGAUCGUAGUCCGGAUCGCAGUCUGCAACUCGACUGCGUGAAGUCGGAAUCGCUAGUAAUCGCGGAUCAGAAUGCCGCGGUGAAUACGUUCCCGGGCCUUGUACACACCGCCCGUCACACCAUGGGA
rnacentral:rRNA from 1 species